rnacentral:siRNA from 1 species
UGAUUCUCCGAAUGCCGUUGC